UACGUAGGGUGCGAGCGUUAAUCGGAAUUACUGGGCGUAAAGCGUGCGCAGGCGGUUUUGUAAGCCAGGGGUGAAAUCCCCGGGCUCAACCUGGGAAUGGCAUUUGGGACUGCAAGGCUGGAGUGCGGCAGAGGAGACUGGAAUUUCCGGUGUAGCGGUGAAAUGCGUAGAUAUCGGAAGGAACACCUGUGGCGAAAGCGGCUCACUGGACCAUUACUGACGCUGAGGCACGAAAGCUAGGGGAGCAAACAGG
rnacentral:rRNA from 1 species